rnacentral:rRNA from 1 species
CACGUAGUUAGCCGUGGCUUUCUGGUUAGAUACCGUCAAGGCGCUACCAGUUACUCUAGCACUUGUUCUUCUCUAACAACAGAGUUUUACGAUCCGAAAACCUUCUUCACUCACGCGGCGUUGCUCCGUCAGACUUGCGUCCAUUGCGGAAGAUUCCCUACUGCUGCCUCCCGUAGGAGUUUGGGCCGUGUCUCAGUCCCAAUGUGGCCGAUCACCCUCUCAGGUCGGCUAUGCAUCACGGCCUUGGUGAGCCGUUACCUCACCAACUAGCUAAUGCACCGCGGGUCCAUCCAUCAGCAGAAGCUUGCGCCUCUUUUCCUCUUCAAACCAUGCGGUUCGAAGACCUAUGCGGUUUUAGCAUCCGUUUCCGAAUGUUAUCCCCCUCUGAUGGGCAGGUUACCCAGUGUUACUCACCCGUUCGCCACUAGAUUGACCAGUGCAAGCACCGGUCGCUCUCGUUCGACUUGCAUGUAUUAGGCACGCCGCCAGCGUUCGU